GGGGUGACAGAAAUCAUGGCUGAAGGUGGAGAACUGGAGUUCGUAAAGAGGAUCAUUCAUGACAGCCUGCAGCUCAAGAAACGCUUGCGGUGGUACAGUUGCAUGUUGGGUAAGAAAUGCAGCUUGGCACCUUUGAAGGAGGAGCUGAGAAAACAAGGGCUGCUCAUGAGCCUGAAAUGGUCUACAGUGUGAUCACAUCUGGUCAGCUUCAAAGUAAACCUUUGAAGUAUGUAGCAGCUGGCAGUUUUUUUUUCUGAUAUCACGAGGAACUAUCUGCAGAAAAAAAAGCUAUUUUGAGCAAAAUAUUCUU